rnacentral:rRNA from 1 species
GUUUGAUCCUGGCUCAGAACGAACGCUGGCGGCGUGGAUAAGACAUGCAAGUCGAACGCUAAUCAGCCUGUAGCAAUACAGGUUGGUUGGAGUGGCGCAAGGGUGCGUAACACGUGGGUAAUUUGCCGUGAAGUUGGGGAUAACUUGCUGCUAAUACCGAAUGUGGCCAUUAAAGGGCAUCUUAUGGCUGAAGUUGGGGACCGGGCCUGACGCUUCACGAUAAGCCCCGGCCUAUCAGCUAGUUGGUGAGGUAACGGCUCACCAAGGCUAAGACGGGUAGCUGGUCUGAGAGGACGACCAGCCACACUGGAACUGAGACCGGUCCAGACACCUACGGGUGGCAGCAGUCGAGAAUUUUUCUCAAUGGCGAAAGCCUGAAGGAGCGACGCCGCGUGGGGGAUUCGGUCCGUAAACCCCUGUCAUUUGCGAACAAACCUUAUGGAAUAACACUCCAUGAGCUGAUUGUAGCGAAAGAGGAAGGGACGGCUAACUCUGCCCAGCAGCCGCGGUAAUACAAGGUCCCAAGCGUUGUUCGGAUUCACUGGGCGUAAAGGGUGCGUAGGUGGCCAGGUAAGUUUGAUGUGAAAUCUCCGAGCUCAACUCGGAAGGCAUUGAAUACUCUCUGGCUGGAGGUUUGGAGGGGGGACUGAUUCUCGGUGUAGCAGUGAAAUGCGUAGAUAUCGAGAGGAACACCAGUGGCGAAGGCGAGUCCCUGGACAACACCUGACACUGAGGCACGAAAGCUAGGGGAGCAAACAGGAUUAGAUACCCUGGUAGUCCUAGCCGUAAACGGUGCACACUGCUGUAAAAGGAAUCGACCCCUUUUGUGGCGAACUAACGCGAUAAGUGUGCCGCCUGGGAAGUACGGUCGCAAGAUUAAAACUCAAAGAAAUUCGGGGGCCUGCACAAGCGGUGGAGUAUGUGGAAUUCGAGCAACGCGAAGAACCUUACCUGGMCUUGACAUGCAAGUAGUAGAACCAUGAAAGUGGGACGACCCCGCAAGGGGAGCUUGCACAGGUGCUGCAUGGCUGUCGUCAGCUCGUGUCGUGAGAUGUUGGGUUAAGUCCCGCAACGAGCGCAACCCCUGUGUCCUGUUGCCACUCGAACGAGAGUUCGAAGCACUCUGGACAGACUGCCUCGCUUAAACGAGGAGGAAGGUGGGGAUGACGUCAAGUCAGUAUGGCCCUUACGGCCAGGGCUGCACACGUACUACAAUGCCCGAUACAAAGGGACGCAAGACCGUCAGGUGGAGCAAAUCUCAUAAAAUCGGGCCCAGUUCAGAUUGUCGUCUGCAACUCGACGACAUGAAGUUGGAAUCGCUAGUAAUGGCGCAUCAGCUACGGCGCCGUGAACACGUUCCCAGGCCUUGUACACACCGCCCGUCACAUCAUGAAAGCCGUUUGUACCCGAAGUCAUUGUGCUAACCGCAAGGAGGCAGAUGCCGAAGGUAUGGAUGGUGAUUGGGAUGAAGUCGUAACAAGGUAGCCG